UGUUGAAACUGCGAGUUAUAAAACACUGAUUAUAAUCAAAGAUUUUGUACAUCAUGUAAAUCUAAAGGCCUUACCUAUAUUGAAGAUUGAUUUCAUAUACUGUUCAUUUGUGAAUCCUAUUCACAACUAAGAGAGAGGUUUAUUACAAAAUGUGUUAAAAAGCCUUAUACUGUAUAUUCUUUAGCAAAUAUUUUCAAGAAUACUAAU